CAAUUCUGCACCUGAAAAACUCAAAGUUUAAGGACUUAUUUAGUUUGUCUAGCAUUUUUUCAUUGGAAUUGUCACAUCCUAAAGUGAGUCAACUUCAUUUCACUUGCAACUGUUGCAAGCUGCACCUGAAUAACUGACGUCACAUCCUAAGUGAGUCAAGUAGUCAACUUCAUUUCACUCGCAAGCUGCACAUGAAUAAAU